CAUGUAAGAUAAAUUUUUCCAGCUCUGCUUUUCUGCUUCAUCCAAGCCUUCCUCAAAAUCUUGAUGGAAACCACAGAGGAUGAUACUUAAGCACCUGUCCCUGGCAAUUGUCGGAAAGAAGAAACCAGGAAGAAGACUCUGUUAUUGCAAUCUGAAGUGAGAAAUUCUCUACCAAUCAGUACAUAAGGUGCAUUCACAGACUCCUGCAUUUAGUUCACAGCCAGCUGUUUAGGGCACGGAAAACUCUGAUGAACUGAUGAACUCUGAUGAAUGAAAUUUUCCUGGCCAUCUGGACUUAAAAUCUUUAUCCUUAGUCCUUAAACAAAACGGUAUGUUCUUUCCUACUAAUGUAAAUGAGAAUUUUGUCUAAGUAAAGAUGAAAGAAACUUUCCUUCUAUAUGUACAUUAUUUCCACAAGGAAUCCUAAUCUCUGUAUGUAUGUAUGGCUUACUAUAUUCUAUAAUGUAGCAUUACAAGAAAUACCACAUCCAGGUAAUAAUUAACAUAUGGAAUCUCAAUAGAUCCUUCAUUCUUGGCAACCAAUAUUGUUCCUGCUUCUGAGUGCUCUAAUCUGUGUCUUCACCCUUUAUCUGUUGGCUCACCUAUGAAAAGAUUAGUUUUUUUAGUUUAUGUUGUCUUGUAUGUUGAUGGCUGAAGAAUUUAUGGCACUCUGACAGGCACCGGUCAUGUCAGCUGGUGCUGAAUUUAACAGACUUGUGUUUUAUAUUAAAGGUCACUACAGCAUUCAUGCUUCAAAAGUUUUUAGGUGCAUUGCACUCCUUGAAGGUUAUGAAGAUUGUGUAAUAUGAUUUGUUUGCUUGUUUAUUUAUUUAUUUAUUUAAGUAUAGUGUUAAUACUUUAAAAAUUUCUUGCACUUGUCAAUGGAUGAGCUGUAGCAACUAGUUGCCACUGCCGCAAACAACCACCACCCCUUGUUCUGACAAUUACCAACCAUGAAUUUAUUGAGAAAUUCCUCAUUAAUUAAGAAAACAGGUUUUCUCCUGCUUUUCUCCACUGUAGAACAGGGUUGUGAUUGGUUAAGAGAAUCUAAUGAAGGAGCACUUAGUUGUAAAAGAAUAUAGAAUAUUUAUUCUAUAAAGAAUAUAGAAUAUUCUAUAUCUUAGAAUAGCCUUCAGGCUUAUUUUUGUUGCAUAUAUCGAAUGCACAGUGAUGUUAGAAUGCUGGAGAUGGCUUAAACUUCAUUAAGCCUUGCAGAGCUACACCAUCUGGAAACCAGGAGAUUUUGUUCCUGUAGUUUCCAGUCUUCCUAAGAUUGUCUCCUUCACCUACGCAAAAAAGCCAGGAAAGUUCCAGAGCACCUUUCUCCUAGACAUGUUAAUUUGAAAGAUUUUUUUUUGGUUAACAAUUCCUUUUGGAUGUAAACAUUUGAAUCUUGUAGUCUGUCUUUUUCACUUUGAUUGCUUAAAUUGACAGAUAGAUAUAGUUAUGAGUCCAUUAAUAGUCUUUGACUAUACUUACACUAACAAGUUGAGCAGUACCAUAGAAUGUUGCUGCGUACUGGGGCAUUGUUAGUAAAGUCAUUGGCAAGGUUUACAAAUAGCACUUUUUCAAGUAAUUAGCAGGCAUGAUUCAGGGAAGUAGCUCGACACACAGACAAUUCCCAACAGGAAUGAAGUCACUUGUUUUGAGGUGCUGCUGUGGCCAGAUAGUGUGCAAAAUGUGAGGAAAUACAAUGGAAUUACAAUGGUCUGUACUUACAAAAGAACAUUUAGUGGUAAUGUACUUCAUGAAGACUAGAGCAUUUGUUUUUAAUUGUGAAGAAUUUUUUCUAAGAAUGUAACCUUUUUCUUUCAU